UCAGGUCUGCGCGCAGUGGUUGCGCCUCUCCCCGAGCCUGCGCAGUCGGCGCCUCGUAGCCUUGGCGGUCUGGACCCCUUGUCGGCGUCCCACGCUGCUCCCCUCCCCCACUGCCGCGAAGCUCCCGCCCGAGCCGACCACGUGCCGGGAGCCCGGCGGGGAGAGCCCACUCCCGCGCCCCUUCCGGGCCCACGACCGCGCCGGGCUGCGGCCCAUCGCCCCAGUGCCUGGUAGCCUAGUUUUCUCGUUUGUCGUUUGUUCAUUUAUUAUUAUUAUUAUUAUUAUUAUUGUUUUGGCCCGUAAUGGGUAGGAGGUAUAAAGGGACCUAUCACCGAUGUUAAGGGGAGAGGGUACCGCUUGGGUUUUAAUAAGCAUUUGUGGAGCUCAUUUAUAAGAUACAGUUCUAAGCACUUAAAUUUAUAUUUCAUUGAUAAUCUAUUUAUAAUAAUCUCACUUAAGGCUCCCAACAACUCUAGGAAGUAAGUGGUAAUUGUACUCCUUCAUUAUAGAUGGAGACAGAUGAAGGAACUUGUUCUUACUGCUAACUGAUAUGUCUGGAGGUUUGAACUCAUUCUGCAAACUCCACGCGCCUUUGCUGUUCCACUCUGCAGCGAUGCUGCUGCCUAGACACUGGAAGAUUGGAGCAGAAAGACUUUCGAAACUCUUGGAAGUUAUGAAUAUAUGUGUUCCUGUGUUCAGUAAAUACACAUUUAUCAAGCACCUACCUUAAGCCAGCCACCUUGCAGCACCUAACAUUGAACUUGUAAGAAGAGCCUGGACAUAUCUUUUGACUGGCUGAGAAACUUAUUUGUUAUUUAAUAAUUUAAACCAAUAGAAGCAAGUUGUAUUACCUUUAGAAACUGGUGUGGGAGAAGGAGUUUUAUCCAAUGAUAGGAGUCGGCCAAGAGAAUUCUGUCUAUAAUCUCUACUAUGUUAGCAGAGCUAAAAGUGGCAUCAGUUAUUGAAACCCAUUGAUAAGCUCCAAAUUUCAUUGACCACAUUCUAACUCUUCUGUAUCAAACCCUUUUAAAUAUGGAGUUUUAGACAGCAUGCAGUAAAAGGAAACCAACUGAAAGCAUGGAUAAUUCAUAGGAUGCAUGCAUAGUUAAGGACUGUCUUUUUCCUUAAAUUGUUUUUCUUUAGUUUCUGCUCCAUCUCUAGGUGCUUACUUUUUCAAUCUUGAAGAUAUUUAGUGUGUUGAAAUUGUUCGGUAAAAUGAUCUCUUAAACAUAAAUGAUUAUUUAAGAAUAGGACUGUUAAGAAACUGAUAGCCUCAGCUUAUGCUAAAAAUUAAACCCUGCUGACAACUGCAGCAAACAGUUUAAUUUUUAAUUCCUGUAAGAGAAUUAUUCAUAUAAGCUUAUUUCUACUCUAAGGAAAUUUAGGUUUCUUAGUGCUAAUUUUGUGUAGCAAUUCCAUACGGUGAUACAGAAGGUAGAGAAGUACAGUGGCACACUAGAGUGUUGUCGUAAACUCAAACAGCCUCAAGCUGAAUUCUGAUCUUGUAAGCAUAGUGCCUAUCUUUACACAGUACUACAAGCUGUAAUUCAUAAACCUGAAUAGCAACAUCUAACAAUGAGAGAUUAUAGUACUUUUGAACUGUGCAUUUGUGUAACAAAAUUUCAAAUUACCCAUUUACAUUAAAAAUAUAUUUUUGAACUAUAACUUAUCUACUAAAUUACUGUUACAUUAAACCUUUCAAGACAUUCAUGUUACACUGUUAA